UCGUCCUUUUCAACCAGAAAUGGUUUCGGGGAAUAGAAUGAGCAAUCAUUUUAUUUCUCCGCUUUUACUUUGACUAAUUCCAAGUGUUCAAAGCAGGCCACAUUAGUUGUGCCAGUUUUUGAAGGUUACAGCAUGGUAUAAUAGAAUAUGUUAUACGUGACAUAUUGUUUUGGUUAUUUACAUAUGGAUCUCACGUGAAAAUGAUAAAUAGAGAUAGUUGGGGGUAUUCAUAUUUGAUUGUCAGAGGUGAAAUUCUUGGAUUUUUCAAAGAUGAACUAGUGCGAAAGCAUUUAUCAAGGAUGUUUUCAUUGAUCAAGAACGAAAGAAAAGGGAUUGAAGACGAUCAGAUACCGUUGUAAUCUUUUCUAUAAACGAUGCCGACCAAGGAUGAGAAAAAAAGUGAUGUAAAAAAUACAUGGAGCUAACGAGUAAAAUAGGUUGAAAGAUCAUUUAUUCUAUGCCCUUUCUCGGACUUUGUGAG
rnacentral:rRNA from 1 species